rnacentral:rRNA from 1 species
UACAGAGGGUGCAAGCGUUAUCCGGAUUUAUUGGGCGUAAAGCGUUUCGUAGGUGACUAGUAAAGUUAUCUUUCAAAGACCACGGCUCAACCGGGGGAAGGGAGAUAAUACUCACUAGUUUGACUAUUGGUGGGGCAUUCGGAACUGAUGGUGUAGUAGUGAAAUACGUUGAUAUCAUCAGGAACUCCAAGGGCGAAGGCAGGAUGCUAACCAGUCAGUGACACUGAGGAACGACAGCUAGGGGA